rnacentral:rRNA from 1 species
UACAGAGGUCUCAAGCGUUGUUCGGAUUCAUUGGGCGUAAAGGGUGCGUAGGCGGCGCGGUAAGUCGGGUGUGAAAUCUCGGAGCUUAACUCCGAAACUGCAUUCGAUACUGCCGUGCUUGAGGACUGGAGAGGAGACUGGAAUUUACGGUGUAGCGGUGAAAUGCGUAGAUAUGACAUAGAACACCAAUUGCGAAGGCAGCUCGUUACACGAAUAUUGACUCUGAGGCACGAAAGCGUGGGGAUCAAACAGGA